AAUAGAUUGAAAUUGAUAGAAAGCUGGAAUUGACUCUAGGGAUACUUCCCUGAGGCUGGGUCUCCAUUGCAGCUUCCUGUCUGGUCUCCU